UACGGGGGGAGCAAGCGUUGUUCGGAUUUACUGGGCGUAAAGGGCGCGUAGGCGGCCACCGCAAGUCGAUUGUGAAAUCUCCGGGCUUAACCCGGAAAGGUCAACCGAUACUGCGGGGCUAGAGUGCAGAAGGGGCAACUGGAAUUCUCGGUGUAGCGGUGAAAUGCGUAGAUAUCUGGAGGAACACCGGUGGCGAAGGCGGCAUCCUGGACCGGUAUUGACGCUGAGGCGCGAAAGCCAGGGGAGCAAACAGG
rnacentral:rRNA from 1 species